AUUGUUGCGGUUAAAACGCUCGUAAUUGGAUAUCUGCUAAGGGGUUCCGGUCCUUCCCAGUGAAGAAUACGCGGAACUCUUCUUGGCAUUUAUUCAGGGAAGGUGUUUGCACUUUGUUGUGUGUCACAUGAUCUGAAUUUUUACUUUGAGGAAAUGAGAGUGUUUCAAGCAGGCUUUUGCCGUGAAUAUGAUAGCAUGGAAUAAUAGCACAGGACCCCUUUCCAAAGCUGUUGGUUUUUGGAACGAGGUAAUCAGAAUAAGGAUAGUUGGGGGUAUUCGUAUUUAACUGUCAGAGGUGAAAUUCUUGGAUUUUUUAAAGACAAACUAUUGCGAAGGCAUCUGCCCAGGAUGUUUUUAUUGAUCAAGAACGAAAGUUAGGGGAUCGAAGACGAUCAGAUACCGUCCUAGUCUUAACCUUAAACUAUGCCGGCUGGAGAUUGGA
rnacentral:rRNA from 1 species